rnacentral:rRNA from 1 species
CUCGCAACGAUGAAGAACGCAGCAAAAUGCGAUAAGUAGUGUGAAUUGCAGAAUACGUGAAUCAUCGAAUCUUCGAACGCAUAUUGCACUUUUCUAGUUUACUAGAAAAGUAUGUCUGUUUGAGUAUCA